GAUGAACGCUAGCGGCAGGCUUAAUACAUGCAAGUCGAGGGGUAGCAAGAUUGUAGCAAUACAAUUGUUGACGACCGGCAAACGGGUGCGGAACACGUACACAACCUUCCUACAAGUGGGGAAUAGCCCAGAGAAAUUUGGAUUAAUACCCCGUAACAUAGCGAUGUGGCAUCACAUUGCUAUUAUAGCUUCGGCGCUUGUUGAUGGGUGUGCGGCUGAUUAGAUAGUUGGCGGGGUAACGGCCCACCAAGUCUACGAUCAGUAGCUGAUGUGAGAGCAUGAUCAGCCACACGGUCACUGAGAAACGGGCCCGACUCCUACGGGAGGCAGCAGUAAGGAAUAUUGGACAAUGGACGCAAGUUUGAUCCAGCCAUGCCGCGUGAAGGAUUAAGGUCCUCUGGAUUGUAAACUUCUUUUAUAAGGGACGAAAAAAGGUCUUUCUAGAUCGUCUGACGGUACCUUAUGAAUAAGCACCGGCUAACUCCGUGCCAGCAGCCGCGGUAACAC
rnacentral:rRNA from 1 species